rnacentral:rRNA from 1 species
GCCAAAAAUUUAGCCCCAGACCCCGCCCACCCCACACAAACAAUUAAAAUAUUUUACCACUUAGUAGAGAUGAUCAAAAAUUUAACAAGAGCUACACUAAAGUACCGCAAGGGAAAAAUGAAAUAACUGAAAAAUAUAAAGCACAAAAAAAUAAAGACUAUAUCUUGUACCUUUUGCAUCAUGAUUUAACUAGUCUAACCAAGCAAAAAGAACUUUUAGUUUGGCCCCCCGAAACUGAGUGAGCUACUCUAGGACAGCUUAUUGAGCAAACCCUUCCCUGUUGCAAAAGGGUGGGAAGAUCCUAUAGUAGAGGUGACAAACCUAUCGAACCCAGUGAUAGCUGGUUACUCAAGAAAAGAAUUUUAGUCCAACCUAAAGCACCCUAAUAAAUCAAAUUAAUUAAAUUACUACUUUAGAGCAAUUCAAAUAAGGUACAGCCUAUUUGAAACAGGAUACAACCUCCAACAACGGCUAAUUUACACUAUGACUGAACUAAGUAGGCCUAAAAGCAGCCAUCUUAAAAAAGCGUCAAAGCCUAAUUCUACCCACCCCAAAUACCUAAAACCUAACAGAGCCCUUCAUUAGUAUUGAGUACUUCUAUACCCCUAUAGAAAUUUUUAUGUUAAAACUAGUAACAAGAAAACACUUCUCUUUAAUGCAAACGUAAAUCAGAAUGGACCCCCACACUGAUAACUAUCCACCCCGGCAGCAACUUCCAUGAAAACCCUGCCCCCCCC